rnacentral:lncRNA from 1 species
CUCCUGGGAUCAACAGUUUGAAAUGAAAGCCCCAUGCCGAAUUCUGAUCAGGAAGCAGAUCUGGGUGUGUGGAAGGCGGCUCCUACAUCGAAACCAUCUGCGCUUGAUUUGGUGGUAGGAAAAUGCAAGAUCUUGGAAUGUAUAAAUAUCAAAAGGAACAGCCUCGCAGUGGAAGAUAGUUCUACAGCCUAGAACUUUCACUGGAGUUGCCCUGAAAUCAAAAGGAUCCAGGAGGAUGAAGAAGGCUCACUCUAUUCUGAUCUGAUAGCUUCACUGCGUUACUUCCCUCUCACAUCUGUGUCAAAAAAUAGAAAGUAAUAACUUGAUGGAGGAAUAUGGAGUAAGGACCCUAGACUCCUCUCCCUGAAAGAGUCCUCU